AUUGAACGCUAGCGGGAUGCCUUACACAUGCAAGUCGAACGGAGUGGCGAACGGGUGAGUAAUGUAUCGGAACGUGCCCAUUAGCGGGGGAUAACUACGCGAAAGCGUAGCUAAUACCGCAUACUUUUGGAGCGGCCGAUAUCGGAUUAGCUAGUUGGGGGGGGAACGGCUCACCAAGGCGACGAUCCGUAGCUGGUUUGAGAGGACGACCAGCCACACUGGGACUGAGACACGGCCCAGACUCCUACGGGAGGCAGCAGUGGGGAAUUGUGGGCAAUGGGGGAAACCCUGACCCAGCCAUCCCGCGUGUGCGAUGAAGGCCUUCGGGUUGUAAAGCACUGUUGUCAGGGAAGCGGUACCUGCAGAAUAAGCACCGGCUAACUACGUGCCAGCCGCCGCGGUAAUAC
rnacentral:rRNA from 1 species